AUUGAACGCUGGCGGCAGGCCUAACACAUGCAAGUCGAGCGAGCGGCGGACGGGAGAGUAGUGUAUGGGGACUGCCCGAUAGAGGGGGAAAACUACGGGAAACGGUGGCUAAUACCGAAUACUAUCGGAGGACCUUUAUGGGAUUAGCGAGUGGGUGGGGUAAAGGCUCACCUAGGCGACGAUCUCUAGCUGGUCUGAGAGGUUGAUGAGCCACAUGGGAACUGAGACACGGCCCAGACUCCUACGGAGGCAGCAUUGGGGAAUUUUGGCCAAUGGCGGAAAGCCUGAUGCAGCCAUGCCGCGUGUAUGAAGAAGGCCUUAGGGUUGUAAAGUACUUUCAGCGGGGAGGCGUUACCCGCAGAGAAAGCACCGGCUAACUCCGUGCCAGCAGCCGCGGUAAUAC
rnacentral:rRNA from 1 species